rnacentral:rRNA from 1 species
AUUGAACGCUGGCGGCAGGCCUAACACAUGCAAGUCGAGCGAGCGGCGGACGGGUGAGUAAUGUAUGGGGAUCUGCCCGAUAGAGGGGGAUAACACUUGGAAACAGGCUCUAAUACCGCAUACUGAUGGAUGGACCCGCGGUGCAUUAGCUAGUUGGUGAGGUAACGGGUCACCAAGGCCACGAUUCAUAGCCGGCCUGAGAGGGUGAUAGGCCACACGGGAACUGAGACACGGCCCAGACUCCUACGGGAGGCAGCAGUGGGGAAUAUUGCACAAUGGGCGCAAGCCUGAUGCAGCCAUGCCGCGUGUAUGAAGAAGGCCUUAGGGUUGUAAAGUACUUUCAGCGAGGAGGCGUUACCCGCAGAAGAAGCACCGGCUAACUCCGUGCCAGCAGCCGCGGUAAUUC